rnacentral:rRNA from 1 species
GCCAGCAACCAUAUCACCCUGCAACUCACAGCCCACUAAAGCUAGCAGGUGUGAGCCUGGUCAGUACCUGGAUGGGAGACCUCCUGGGAAAAACUAAGGUUGCUGCUGGAA